rnacentral:misc_RNA from 1 species
GAUGAAGAACGCAGCGAAAUGCGAUACUUGGUGUGAAUUGCAGAAUUCAGUGAAUCAUCGAAUCUUUGAACGCACAUUGCGCCCGCCAGUAUUCUGGCGGGCAUGCCUGUUCGAGCGUCAUUUCAACCAUCAAGCCCUGCUUGCGUUGGGGUCCUGCGGCUGCCCGCAGGCCCUGAAAACCAGUGGCGGGCUCGCUAGUCACACCGAGCGCAGUAAUACAUCUCGCUUUGGGCGUGCGGCGGGUUCUUGCCGUUAAACACCCCCUUUUUACCAAGGUUGACCUCGGAUCAGGUAGGAAUACCCGCUGAACUUAAGCAUAUCAAUAAGCGGAGGA